GAGAGGCAGGCAGGCGAGCAGGCGCCCCCCCCAGGGCAGGACGGAACGGCCACUAACGGCUUCCCAGAAUUCAAAAAUUCAAAAUGGCAGCAGUUGCUGGGUGUGCCUGGAAGGGCCGGGGGGGGGCGGUGGUGCCCCUCCCAGGAGCCGCCCCUGGCUCUGAAGGGAGCCCAGCCAGUUUCCGCCGAGCGGCCUGCCCGCAGGGGGAGCGCGUGUCCAGGAGGGGGCUGGGACCCCCAUCUCUGCUUUUGGAAAGGGCCCGAUCCUGGGAGGAGGGUCCGGAGCGGCCUGCAGAAGUCGGUCCCUGCCUGGAGAGCUCCUGGGGGCGGCUGGCUGGCUCAGCCUGGAUUUUCUACUUCACUUUACUCGCAAAUAAACAAGCCAGCAACAGCCACAACAAAGCCUCCUCCCUUUGGGGGACACACACACAGAGACCCAAUCCUGAACAAGAGUUUUGGUGAUCUGAGCUGUUCUUACCCAACAGACUCCAAGGGACUGAACGGAGGCAAGCGACACAGAAGUCCAGGCAAUCGGCACCUCCAGGUGAGCCGGGAAUAAGGGAGGAGAGCUGGCCUUGGGGCAGCCAGCGAGAAGGCUUCCCUUUGCUGAGCAGGGUCUGUCCUGGUUUGCAUUUGGGUGGGAGACCGCAGGUAAGGGACUCCCCUGAGGGGAUGGGGCCGCUCAGGGAAGAGCACCUUCCUGCUUGCAUGCAGAAGGUCCCAAGUUCCCUCCCCGGCAGCAUCUCCAGACAGGGCUGAGAAGCUGCCUGAAACCUUGGAGAAGCUGCUGCCAGUCUGUGCAGACAAUCCUGAGCCAGCUGGACCAAGGGUCUGACUCGGUAGAAGGCCGCUUCCUCUGGUCCUAAACUGAAAACUGUUUUCUGAAAGUAGCUUGCUCCAGGGCAGGGGUGGUGGGCAAACGUGGCCCUGCAGCUGUUGCCGGACUACAAUUCCCAUCACCCCCAGCCACAGUUUAAUGUGGGAACUGACAGAAACGAUUUCAGUUGACAACCAAGUUUAUGAACAAGCUCAACUCUGCACAUGCUCGGGAACCGUGGACAUACUGGCCUGCUUUGUGAGUUUCUCUUUCCGCUUUUGAGAAUGUAAGAACAGGCCCCAAGAGGCCCUUCUAGGCCGGCAUCCUGCUCCCCACAGUGCCCCCCCCCGGCAAGAGGGGAGGACCUGCCUUCUCUCCUGCUGCUGCUGCUGCUGGCCUGAGCCUGGCAUUCACAGGCGUCUCUUGCUGCUGAGUGGGAGCGCUCAGUGGUUUGCAGAGGUUAAUCGGGCCUGCGGUUGUUUUCCCGCCUUGUAAACAGUCCUAUAGUCGGCUUUCCAGCAACCACCAGAGCUGCACAGCAGCAACACAUCGAGGAACCUGCCCCUAGCAGGCCUCCCCAUUCUGGGGGAGAAGGAGGGGAAGGCGGACUCUUGUGACUCUCUAGCUUGGAGGACUCACUGGAGCAACUGCUGGGGGGGGGGAGGCUCUCCGAAAAAGGGGGAAAGCCCGGGAAAUUCAAAUCCCAGGGACCAAUCCAGAGGACCGGGUGGGGAUUUCUGGCCCAGCCGCCUCCUGGAGAGGAGGAGAAAGCUUGGGUCUCUGGGCGUCCGUCUGUCCCGGAAGGCCCACAGGAAGCAGCGAGCCGAGCUGAGAUGGUGGGAAGGCCUGUGUGGAAUACGUUCGGACCAAGUCAGGGAAGUGCUUUUUCUGGACGGAUGGCUGGGAAUCUGCACGGCCAGAUUCAACAGAGGCAGCUGUGACCAUUGGGCCCCUGGGGAAGAGAGCUGGCCUUAUGGGAACAAGCAUGGAUGGUCCCCUUUGCUAAGCAGGGUCCUCCUUGGUUUGCAUUUGGAUGGGAGACGAUGACAUGUGUGAGCACUGGAAGACGUUCCCCUGAGGGGAUGGGGCCAGAGUUCAGGGGAAGAGCACCUUCCUUCAAGCAGAAGAUCUCCAUGGACUCCCUGGCAUCUCCAGGUAGGACUGGGAGAGACCCCUGCCUGCGAAAUCCCACCUCUUCUGCCUGUCAGGAGGAGGUCAGUCCAGCAAGAACCCUGGCUCUUUGAAAGGCAGUCCCCACCCAAUGCCAGUGGGAUCAAGCAAUGCAAAUUUAAUACGAAGCAAACAACAAGACGCACCAAAGCUCCUAACCUCAAGACGAGGAACAGAUCCCUGCACUGCUGCACAGGCAGAAAGGAGAAGGAGGAGAAAGAAUCCCAAGUCACCGUGUCCCCAGAGAGGAGACGAGCUGUUCAAGCCGAAAGGAGCCUGGCUGGACCCGGCUGCGGAGUGUGGGGAGAGGUGGAGAAGGCAGAACAGUGGGCUGUUUUCCAGCCGCCCCCCCCCCGGCCCCACAAUCCCCUGCAACUGGGGCACCUCCUCACCUCCAGCAUCCUGAGCUGGGGUCUCCUCCGAUGGCUCUGGCUCGGUGCUCCCUCCAACCAGCGAGGGAGUGGGGCAGAUGGUGAGGGAGGAGAUGGUUCUCUGGGGACUCCGGCUCUGAGGAUGUCCUCGUAGACUGUCUGGGCCCCCAGGCGCCCCACAGUGGCUCCAUCUCCGAGGCUCCCACCAGCUCCAGCCCGGGGUCAGCAUGUGAGGCCAGACUGGGCUCCAGGCCUGCCUCCUCGGAGCCCCCACCUGUGGGGGUCACAGGGGCUCUGGGCUAUUCCUAGAGUCAGCCCCAACAUUCAAAGUCCUUACUCGUAGGGUCCUAAGAAGAGACCCUAUGGUUGGGGGAGAAGACCAGAGACUUAAUGAGAGAGCGGCUUCGUUUGGGGAAGAGGCAGAGGGCCCUCCCCAUCCCGGGGAAAUGGAGGCGGCUUCCAGGCUGGAAUUCCCAAAAGGGAGCAGAAGAAAUGGCUUCACCCACCUGAGCUGGGCCACAAGGGGGCAUCAGUCGUCCUCGUCUGUUCGGGAGAGAAGACAAGAGAAUUAACGAGAGCCCGGCUGGGUUUGGGAAAGGGGCAGAGGGCCCUGCCCGUCCCCGGGAAAUGGAGGCGGCUUCCGGGCUGGAAUCCCCAAAGGGAGCAAGAGGAACGGCUUCCCCAGCUGCGGUGGGGCCAGAAGGCCUUCCUCAGGGAGCGCCAUGUUCGCCCUGGGGCAGGAUGGGGAAGCCAAGGCACUUGCUCUGGGGAGGGCACUGGGAGGGAAGAGAGGCGGAGGAGCAGGUGGGCUCCUCGGAGACCCCCGGCGGGCCCAGAGGGGGAGCCGCCCAGGCCCAGAGCAGGGAGGGAGCUCUGCCUGCCCCAUUCCUUGGGGGUGGAUUUUACCUUCACUCGAAGUGUCCCCCCCGUCUCCCUUGGCACGGGCCGUUGUCCGCCCCACCCGGCGGAUGGCCAGGGGCAGAAGAGGCUUGAUGACCUCCGCCUGCAGAGAGAGGGAGGAAAGAAGGCCCGUCAGAGCUCGACUGGGGACCCCGGAACCUGGAAGAGGGCGCUGGGGGAUGCCGGAGCCAGGCCAGGCCAGCGUGGGGGAGACUGACCUCAAAAUGGAAGGGGGGCCCAAUCGCCAGGUUUAAUAGAAACAGGCCCGCCUUCUCUGCCGCCACCACUUCUCGCUGGUCCACCGAAUAGGUGACCAGAUCGAUGGCCUGUAGGAGAAAAGGAACUGGGUGGGUCCCACCAAGUAUGCCCAAAGACCCCCAGAGAGCCCUCCACCCCUCAACCCCCGAAAAGGUGAUGCUUUGAAAGGAGGCGUGGACUCUGGGAAAGGAUCAAGUCGAGGGAUGGUGGAAGAAGGCAAGAGCUCCCAACCCCACGGAAUAAAGAGAUGAGAGAAGGAUCCCCUCCCUGUGGCUGGAAGAGGCCCCCCUCUCCCCCGCUUACCUCCGCCAUUCAAAUGAGGUGGGUCAUGGAGGGCUUCUGGGCCAGCAGCUCCCUCAGGAGGGCCUGGAGGGCCUUUUCGGGGGGGCAGGGAGAAAGGGGGCCAGAGUGUGGCUGCUGGUGGCCAGAGGGGUCUCCUGGCCCCUCCUCAGGGAGGAAAAAGGCUCCUCGGGGCCUCCCAAGAGCCCUGUCCUUUCCGCUCAUGGUGGCCAUGGGGGCUCAAGGUGCCUGUCUCCAUGGGGGGGUGGCUUUUCAGGCCCCCCUACUGAGGUAGCACAGGCCCAGCCAGAGUCUUUGCCUAGGUGGGCAGAUGGGGGGGGGUAUCUGUAAAUAUAUACCUCCCGGUCUUCCUCUGGACCUUCUCCAAGCAUGUGGCUGAUCCAGAAGAGGGACUCCAUGGUCAGUUUCCUUUCCGUAUACCUCCCCCUUCAGGGCUCCGGCCGGCCCCCCUGCCCCACACGCCCCGGCUGCCAGCCAGCCACUCACCAGCACGUCCUGGGCUGCCCACUCCUUGCUGAAAGGGAGCCGAUCCUCCCUCCUCCGGAGCGCCUCCAGGCAGGCCUGGCGGAUGGCCCUGAGGAAGCCAAGCUGGGCUGCCCUCUGGUCCUGGAAGGGGCAAGCAUGGGGGGCAGGAGUCAGUAGGGCAGGAUCCCCACCCCCCGCUGCUCCGGGCUGCCCAAGUGGGGCUCCCUCCCUUCCCUGCUCUUCCUCCGGGGUUGGGCCUGACUCCUCCGCUGCAACCAGGCCUCAACCAGCUGGCAGGGGGUUCAAUCUGCAGAAGGGGGGAGAAGGAGAGGGCGAGGAGGCAGGAGAGGGAGCAGGCUGUCCUUCCAGCUGCCCCCCCUCCCCACACCUCCUUGCCCCGCCUGCCUAGCCCCGCCAUCCCCUGGGAACUGGGGCAGCCCCUCCCCUCCAUCAUCCUGUGCAGGGGGCUCCGAUGGCCCGUCUGUGGGCCUCCCUCCCCUGGCCACUCAGCGAAGGGAGCUUGAAUCCUGGAGUGCCAGGAGGGAGCUCAAUGACUCCCUGGAGACACACCCAACCCUAGCCCAGAAGGGCAGGGCAGGGGGCCCCAGCUGCUGACCCCCACUGGGCCAGGGGAUCCCCUCCCAUUGGCUGGAAGAGGCCCCCCUCCCCCACUUACCUCCGUCAUGCGGAUCAGAUGGGCCAGGGAGGGCUUCUGGGCCAGCAGCUCCCUCAGGAGGGCCUGGAGAGCUUUUUCGGGGGGCAGGAACGGGCUCUGCAAGGGAGGGAGGGAGGGAGGAAGGGGGCCAGAGUGUGGCUGCUGGUGGCCAGAGGGGUCUCCCGGCCCCGCCUCUGUCCUUCCGCUCAGGGGGGCUUCAGCCACCAAGCAGGCCCCCCACCGAGGGAGCACUGGCCUUUGCCGGGGGGGGCAGGGGGGGAGCGAAGGAGCCCCGUCCCUCUCUACCUGCAGAUCUCCCUGUGGAGCUUCGCCCAGGACGCGGCCCAUACUGGAGAGGGACCCCCUGAUCACCCUCUCCUCUCUGUCCCAGGAGAAGCAAGGCUUCACACGCCCCCCCGGCUGCCAGCCAGCCCCUCACUCACCAGCACGUCCUGGGCUGCCCACUCCUUGCUGAAAGGGAGCCGAUCCUCCCCCCUCUGGCGCGCCUCCAGGCAGGCCUGGCGGAUGGCCCUGAGGAAGCCGAGCUGGGCUGCCCUCCGGUCCUGGAAGGGGCAAGCAUGUGGGGCAGGAGUCAGUAGGGCAGGAUCCCCCCCCACUUAGGCAGGCCCCCUUCGCAGAGAGGCUGCUGCCUUCAUCCUGCCCCUUUUCAGGACCCUGGACAAGGCUCCGGGCUGCCCAAGGGAAGUCCUGGAGGAUGGGGGUUCUGUAGGCAACAGAGAGCAAGAUGAAGACCCCCCAGGGCCCCUGGGGGGCUUCCCUCCUGCUGCCCCAGAUCCUCCCACCUCCCUCUCUGGGCUGGCUCUCUCUCAAGGGCCGCCUCCACCCCACUCACCCCCAUCCAGGCCUCUUCCCCCACCAGCCAACCGCUUUCCCCCAGAUGUCCCUGCCCAAAUCACUCACCAGCACGGCCUGGGCUGCCAGCCCUUUGGAGAAGGGAAGGUGUCAGGACAGGCCUGGAUAAGGGUCAUCCGGUCCUGAGAGAGGAAACACAAGUAGGCAUCAAGUAGGCAUCCCUGGCAUGCGGUGGGGGGCACUCUACUUGGUCUCCUGGCCAGGAAGGCUCGGAUCCUGCCCUGCCUAGAAGAGAAUGGGGAGACUGAGACUGAUGCCCUUGGGCAGAAUGGUUGGCGGAGAGCCUUCUCUCCAAGGAAAGGUUAACCCUUUCAUUACCUUCACUUGAAGAAUCAGCCCCAUCUCCCUUGGCCCGGGCCGUCGUCCUUCCGACCCGGCGAAUCGCCAGGGGCAGCAGAGGUUUGAUCAAACACAAGGAAAGGCUAACCCUCCAGGGCUCUUGAGUUUAGAAAAGACUCAAGAAGGGAGUGGGUCCUGGAGAAGGGGGGGCCGUGGGACAGGGCCUUCUCUGUGGCUGCCCCAGGGCUUUGGAAUGGGCUCCCUGUCCAUAGAGGAGCCCCUGCAUCUCUGGCUGCCUUUUAAAAAACCACUCAAGACACACCUGUUUUCUUAGGCAUUUUGCUAAAACUAUUUUUAAGAGUGUUUCUUUUAACUGUUUUUAAAAUGUGGUUUUAAAAUUGGUUGAAUUGGUUUUGUGGUUUUAAGUUGUGUACCCUGCCUUGAGAUAUUAAGCAGUUUAUAAAUGAAAUGAAAUAAAACAAUACUUACAUGA